rnacentral:lncRNA from 1 species
AGAGCUUCUCAUGCAGCCUGCACCAGCGCCGGGUCGGAGAGUCAGAGGCCACCCUGAGAUGGACCGAGAUCUUCAGUUGGGGAGGCGCCUCCGAACUGUCCAUUUGGCUAUGAGCGAAUCAUCCUGCUUGCUUUUAUAAGCAUUUAUCCUGAAAAGAAAUUUAAAGCAGACAUCCCAUAAAUGGAGUCUGGGACAGAAACCUACACAUUGGGGCUUGGUGGCAUGCAUGUUUAGUCCCAGCUACACAGCAGGGAGGCUGAGGCUGAAGGAAUACUUGAGCCCAGGAAUUCAAGACUAGCCUGCACAACAUAGUGAGACCCUGACUUUAAAAUAAAUUUAAAAAAAUUAAAAGCAACAAGACUUUCUGCUUGUAUAUGAUGAUGUUAGUAUGCUGACUUACAAGGUUAGAUCAUUUUGAUAUGUGUGAUGUAGGUUUUCAAAGCUGGCACUGUUUUAUGCUUCAAAUAUUAUUUUUAUUCAUUGGUUCUCAUGGGAUUUCAUCACUAAGCUGUAAAUCAAUAAUCAUAAUGUUGAGGGGAGGGGAUUACAAAAUAGCUCUUCAAAAUCAUCUUUGCAUUUCUCAAUAAACAGCAUUCCCUUUUGGACUACAGUGAAAAAUAUUGAGCUUUGUUUACUUUGAAAAUGAGUCUUAGUCUAUGAAUGCCUGGGUAGGGUCAAGAAUGAAAAAUGAGAGGAAGAGAGAAGCAUCAGGAAGAUAAAAUGAUCAAUCUCACAAAACUUGCUAUUUUUAGAAAGCAUCAUUCUAAUUUUGAAACCAAAAAAAUGGGGAAAAACAGAGUAAUGGAAUAAUAGAAUGCCUCAUGUACAAAAGCAACAAUUUCAGAGAUGAUCUAAAACAACUUAUUAGUUAUAGGAAGAAAUAUACCUGAAAAGGGCAAAAAUAAGUUGGGUUUGGCCUCUUGUCACUGAAAUUAUCUACUAAAUCUAACAGCAUCUAUGUUCCUUUAGCUGUUGUGUAUAUUGUACACAAAUGUGA